rnacentral:rRNA from 1 species
GACGUAGGGCGCGAGCGUUGUCCGGAUUUACUGGGCGUAAAGGGCGCGUAGGCGGCCUUCUAAGUCAGACGUGAAAUCCCCCGGCUUAACCUGGGAACUGCGUCUGAUACUGGGAGGCUAGAGUAUGGGAGAGGGAUGUAGAAUUCCAGGUGUAGCGGUGAAAUGCGUAGAUAUCUGGAGGAAUACCGGUGGCGAAGGCGGCAUCCUGGACCAUUACUGACGCUGAGGCGCGAAAGCUAGGGGAGCAAACGGG